rnacentral:lncRNA from 1 species
UUUAUAACAAAGUGUGUUAUUUAAUAAUAAAAUUGGUUUAUACUAUAGUAAACCUUAAGAAAAAGAAAAAAAAAUAAACAAACUCUCAACUCUUUUUCUCUGUUUCUCUCUGAGAGCAUGCUCUCUAUAAUCUUGUGACUCGUCUAUCAACCGACAGCUGUGUGCCUCUUUGAUUGACGUCAUCGUAUGUAAUUAGUUUAAACCAAUGGAGAAGUUAACAUAAAUGGAUUCAUAAACCUAAGUUAGUUAUAUUGCAAAUCAAAAACAAAACACAUUUUUUAUAUUAAUCUAGAGUCUGAGUAGCUAAAUCAUUCAUAAUCCUCGACACUAAGAUAUAAACCAAGAUGCUCUCAAUAUUAAAAU